UACGUAGGGUGCAAGCGUUGUCCGGAAUUAUUGGGCGUAAAGAGCUCGUAGGCGGUUUGUCGCGUCUGCUGUGAAAACCCGAGGCUCAACCUCGGGCCUGCAGUGGGUACGGGCAGACUAGAGUGCGGUAGGGGGAGAUUGGAAUUCCUGGUGUAGCGGUGGAAUGCGCAGAUAUCAGGAGGAACACCAAUGGCGAAGGCAGAUCUCUGGGCCGUAACUGACGCUGAGGAAGCGGAAAGCAUGGGGAGCGAACAGG
rnacentral:rRNA from 1 species